rnacentral:misc_RNA from 1 species
GUAUACAACCACUGCACUGAUCGAUUUUUCCAUUUACAAUUGUUAAGAACAUGCAAGGACCAGUAUUGAUUCAAUCAGGACCAACGUCAUGAACGCAGCUGAACAGGAUAAUGCAAAGAAAUGGAAUCUCGGCGCGACUAAAAAAAGGAAUAAGAGAAAUGUACAGGAUAAAGAAGAAGUAAAAUAAGGACAAGCGAGGAAGAGACGUACUUUCGACGAAGGAAGAAACAAGGCAGGAUUACCCAUUAAGACCCUCGCUAUUUGUCCUGGACACAGCAGACUUGGUACAGGAUCGUGCAAGGAUGCAGAAAGAAGGG